AGAGAUAACCAGAGAGAGAGAUAACCAGAGAGAGAGAGCACUGAGAGAAAUUCUGUUUGUUGAAAACACUCAAGCUGAGUGGAUGAGCUCCGGGUACAAGGUGAACUGAAUUCACGGGUGGAAAACUUCUUCAGAAACUGAAUAGUAGACAUACAACAAAGUUCAUUAAGUGUUGUAGUGUGUUUCUGAGCGCUUCACACCAUCUCUCUCAUCACCUGAAACUAACAGCACAUGUGGUUUGAACAAUUGGAGGACGUGGCGCCUCUUGUCUUUAAAUCAGCAGAUAUCUCAUAUGAUAGGGUGGCCAUUGUGGUCAACAGUUUAGAAGAGCUUCCUCCACGUCAAUAGAGGAAAUGGUGAGAAGCCAUUACAGGGCGCAGACACAGUGAUGCUGAAGAAGGCACUUCAAGUGCAUAUUUUUUAGGGAACAACAGUACGAGCAUUAAAUCAACUCUGGUAUUGUGACUGAGACGUCAUGGCUUGUGCAGACAUCCCUAUGGACAUCCUGGGUCCUGAAUCUGAGGAGCAGGAGUACGAGGAGGCCGGGGACCAAAGAGGAGAAACACUGAUCAAGUAUUACCAAGCAACUGAACUAAUGCCUGCUCCCAAAGGACCACUCCAUGACCUGUUGCUGAAGCAGCCUGCUGUGUUGGGGUCUUUGCAGAUGACGAGCGGUCUACUCAGUGUUGCAGUCGGAGUUGUGUUUGCUGCCACUCGGGAUGCGAGCCAGUCCCUUUUAACCACGUUCAGAGUCGCGCCCUUCACUGGACUACUAUUCUUCAUCGCUGGGUUGUUAUCCAACCUGUUGUUCAAAUUCCCCAGACUAUUACCUGUGAGUCAAUAGUUUUACCUGUCUGCCUGUGUGUCAACAUCGGCAGCAUGGUCGUAGCAGUAGUUGGAGGAGUGUUGAUAUGCGUUGAUUUGGGCAUGGACAUGCCUACCUGGAAUCACAAUGUUCAACAUCAUAUAAAGCUGGAGGUGCUGAUGCUCUGUGUGUUGGUCAUGGAGGUGACCCUCUCUGCUGUCCUCUCCUUCUGGAUCCGGGGAGCGAAACGCAGCCAUUCACUGUGAACUGUUAUCUGUCUGCCAGCUAUUCAUGGACGACCACAUCCAAAUAUAUUGACGUUUAAAAAAUGAAAUGAUAGUGAGCGAGGAUGACAAUGGGGAAACAUAUGCUGUGUCAAAGGGCAGCGCCCGCAGUAAAGGGACUUAUCAUUAUAAUGUCAUCUCUACUUGACUGUAAAUGAACUAACAUCUGAAUUUCCAGGAUAGAGAGUACUCUAAAAACGGUGUAGCUUUGACCAUCAGUAUGUGCCUGAAUGUAUGAGAAAGUACAGCAGCCUCAGAUACCUUUACCCACAAUCCAGCCUAUGUAGGCCAGCGGUGAGUCCUCAUCAAGGGGCUUGACUCACCGCCCCUACACCGAUCUGUGGGUUUUAGAGUACUGUCUCAACCUCGGUGAUUGCCUGCCUGCCUGCCUGCCUGCCUGCCUGCCUGCCUGCCUGCCUGCCUGCCUGCCUGCCUGCCUGCCUGCCUCCAUGCCUGCCUGCCUGCCUGCCUAUCUGCCUGCUACGAGUCCUGUCUGUGUGGUUCUUUCUGACCAGAUUGGUUGUGGUCUAACUCUGCUGCGUAGCUACACACACACACACACACGCAUGCAAACACACAGCGUAGCUACACACUCCACUCAGACUGAGAACAACAGUCUUGUGGUCAAAACUAGUAUGCGUCCCAAAUGGAACCCUAUUCCCUAUUUAGUGCAUAACUAUCAUUAGCGUUGCCUCCUCAUUGGUUCGUUGUUCCCUAUUUCAACCAGUAUCAGUUCUUCCUGUGUGACUCUAUCUAUCUCAGUGUGUGUGUUUGCAGGGGUCUGUUUGUGGUUAAUGAUAAGAGUGUGUCUGUAUCUAGCAGUAGCUUUAGGCGCUAACUGUAAAGGCUGACAGCAUCAGUACAUAGCUUAAGCCUACCAGUUGACAGUUUGACACAGAGACAGUUUGAAACAAAGCCCCCUGUUGUUGUUGUUUUCAACUGCUCACAUUUGGUCAUCUAACAGACUGUUAUCCAGAGAGAGUGCUUUGUCUUGCUCGCGUCAAACACUGUAAUUGUUGUUUGAGUAAAAAUCAUUUCCAUAUUAGGCAUUGGGAAAAAGCUGAAGUAAUCAUGUCAGAUGUAGCUGUGGUGCUAAACAUUAAAGAGCUUUUUAAUAUCCUGUUUAAUACUCUGCACAGAGAGACACAUAGUACUGGUAACGAUAAGAACAGCCAGAGAGACACAUAGUACUGGUAACGAUAAGAACAGCCAGAGAGACACAUAGUACUGGUAACGAUAAGAACAGCCAGAGAGACACAUAGUACUGGUAACGAUAAGAACAGCCAGAGAGACACAUAGUACUGGUAACGAUAAGAACAGCCAGAGAGACACAUAGUACUGGUAACGAUAAGAACAGCCAGAGAGACACAUAGUACUGGUAACGAUAAGAACAGCCAGAGACACAUAGUACUGGUAACGAUAAGAACAGCCAGAGAGACACAUAGUACUGGUAACGAUAAGAACAGCCAGAGAGACACAUAGUACUGGUAACGAUAAGAACAGCCAGAGAGACACAUAGUACUGGUAACGAUAAGAACAGCCAGAGAGACACAUAGUACUGGUAACGAUAAGAACAGCCAGAGAGACACAUAGUACUGGUAACGAUAAGAACAGCCAGAGAGACACAUAGUACUGGUAACGAUAAGAACAGCCAGAGAGACACAUAGUACUGGUAACGAUAAGAACAGCCAGGGAGACACAUAGUACUGGUAACGAUAAGAACAGCCAGAGAGA